AUUGAACGCUAGCGGGAGGCCUUACACAUGCAAGUCGAACGGAGUGGCGAACGGGUGAGUAAUGUAUCUGAACGUGCCCAGUAGCGGGGGAUAACUACGCGAAAGCGUAGCUAAUACCGCAUACUAUUGGAGCGGCCGAUGUCGGAUUAGCUAGUUGGUGGGGUAACGGCUAACCAAGGCGACGAUCCGUAGCUGGUUUGAGAGGACGACCAGCCACACUGGGACUGAGACACGGCCCAGACUCCUACGGGAGGCAGCAGUGGGGAAUUUUGGGCAAUGGGGGAAACCCUGAUCCAGCCAUGCCGCGUGUGUGAUGAAGGCCUUCGGGUUGUAAAGCACUUUUGGCAGGGAAGCGGUACCUACAGAAUAAGCACCGGCUAACUACGUGCCAGCAGCCGCGGUAAUUC
rnacentral:rRNA from 1 species